GACACGAUGGCCGAGUGGUCUAAGGCGGUAGAUUUAAGCCAAUCUGAAGUCUUGCUCUGCAUUUCUUGGGUCGUUGCGCUCAGAUCUCUACUACAGAAAUGUGCGUGGGUUCGAACCCCACUCGUGUCA
rnacentral:tRNA from 1 species